AUUGAACGCUGGCGGCAGGCCUAACACAUGCAAGUCGAGCGGAUGAAGGGAGCUUGCUCCUGGAUUCAGCGGCGGACGGGUGAGUAAUGCCUAGGAAUCUGCCUGGUAGUGGGGGAUAACGUCCGGAAACGGGCGCUAAUACCGCAUACGUCCUGAGGGAGAAAGUGGGGGAUCUUCGGACCUCACGCUAUCAGAUGAGCCUAGGUCGGAUUAGCUAGUUGGUGGGGUAAAGGCCUACCAAGGCGACGAUCCGUAACUGGUCUGAGAGGAUGAUCAGUCACACUGGAAAUGAGACACGGUCCAGAAUCCUACGGGAGGCAGCAGUGGGGAAUAUUGGACAAUGGGCGAAAGCCUGAUCCAGCCAUGCCGCGUGUGUGAAGAAGGUCUUCGGAUUGUAAAGCACUUUAAGUUGGGAGGAAGGGCAGUAAGUUAAUACCUUGCUGUUUUGACGUUACCAACAGAAUAAGCACCGGCUAACUUCGUG
rnacentral:rRNA from 1 species